UACGAAGGUGGCAGGCGUUGUUCGGAUUUACUGGGCGUACAGGGAGCGUAGGCGGUUGGGUAAGCCCUCCGUGAAAUCUCCAGGCUUAACCUGGAAAGUGCAGAGGGGACUGCUCGGCUAGAGGAUGGGAGAGGAGCGCGGAAUUCCCGGUGUAGCGGUGAAAUGCGUAGAGAUCGGGAGGAAGGCCGGUGGCGAAGGCGGCGCUCUGGAACAUUUCUGACGCUGAGGCUCGAAAGCGUGGGGAGCAAACAGG
rnacentral:rRNA from 1 species